UACGAAGGGGGGCUAGCGUUGCUCGGAAUCACUGGGCGUAAAGGGUGCGUAGGCGGGUCUUUUAAGUCAGGGGUGAAAUCCUGGAGCUCAACUCCAGAACUGCCUUUGAUACUGAAGAUCUUGAGUUCGGGAGAGGUGAGUGGAACUGCGAGUGUAGAGGUGAAAUUCGUAGAUAUUCGCAAGAACACCAGUGGCGAAGGCGGCUCACUGGCCCGAUACUGACGCUGAGGCACGAAAAGCGUGGGGAGCAAACAGGG
rnacentral:rRNA from 1 species